rnacentral:lncRNA from 1 species
AAUCUAUACAUAGUUUUGGUUGUCGAAUUUGUUGUAAGCCAACUGGACGAUUCCAUAGGAUCCCUAGACGAUGUAGAUAACUGUUAGUUUUAUUUUAAAUCAAGAUUAUCUGGAAUACAGCGAACUUACCUGGCCGAUAAAUUCCCUUAGCGAGUAUUGGUUGAUUUGGGUCGAAAUACAGAAGAAAAAAAUGUACCUGAUGCAAAAUUUGGUCGUUGCAGCAUCGAGAAUUUAAUCAGGCCGACAAUCACCAAGGCACAGGGAAAAACUAACAGGAUGACCAUUGGUGUUUAUGUGUUGCCGAGCCACAAGAAACUUCUCCACUGCACGCGUCUCGCAGGUUGUGACGUGCGUUGCCGGAAACGGCAGAAGGAAGUGUGGAGCAAUCGACCAAUCGUUUCUUUUCAAAAAUGAAAUGGGCUAUCAAAUUGGUGAACAGCUGACGUUUCCGCUUCCGUUUCGUGUCUUGAUUAGUGCUCCGGAAGAUAACUAGAUAAGCAACGAAGGCAAAAGAAACGCCAGCUGAGGCUAGAUACCCUGAAUACAAGCCAUCGUACUCUUCAUAUUCGGUCCCGGCCUACCAAGUCCCGUCUGCACCAGUCUACUGGGCACCACCCCGUCCUGCCUACGUCCCUCCUCGUGCUCCUACUUGUGGAUUGUUGCAGCGCUUUCCUAUCGAUAUUUACCCAAAAAAAAACUAAAUAGGAAAAUAAUACAUUAUUUUUAAUGAAAUUUACUAAGUAUUUGUAUUCAACUUAUUCAAAAUACAGGUUACCAAUGGAAUUAAAUUCAUUAAGUAUAUCUCAAACUUAAGUCAGAAUUUUUAAUUUCCAAACUCAAUUUCCAAUUAUUUUGGCGAGCCAGCAAUUGCCAAUCACCAAUAUCGUCCAGCGACACAUUUUUACAAAAAUGAAAACUGAUGCUUUCAAGAGCGUUGUGUUCGUUUUUACUUUUUAGUGUUUUCGAUUUUUAGUCAAACGUGGUGAUCGCGGAGGAAUCUGUUGGCUCGUCAGUAGGUGGCUAAAAUCAAGUUGUCCCCCAGCCGCCAGAUGACGCGAGUCUCUUUGAGUGAGGACGAAAUUUUCGCCACUUUGGUUCCGAAACGCCAAGUGAAAAGGUAUUCCAAAUUUGUUACGGAAUUGCGUUGUCGAUCUACAUUUUCAGCAUUGAAAUUUAAUGGGCAAUCUGGCAUAUCAUUUCCACUUGGCCAAAUAAACGAUCACGUGGACACUGCUUUCCAUUUUGCCGAAACGUUGUCCGUUGUUAGCUGUACCUGUUCGGAUGUACGUCUCAUCUCACACAGAAACACUACAGAGUUGGUGUUCAGGUUGGAGAUCCCGUUGCUUAACUGUUGCAGAAUGUGAGAACUCAACAAAUUCUGAGCUCCAUGGCUGACAUGAUGGCCACAGUGGUUUUGUUGCAGCCAGCUGGUGAAAGGUGUGAUCUAGUCAAGUUGAGCUGCAGCUGCUGCAUGCAGUUUAUCGAGCUUGUGUUAUCCUGAAGUGUCAUAAACUGUCAUUGCAGGAAGACUUUUUGAAAUGGAUUUGGUGAUACUUAAACUAUGCCUGUGCUGUUCAAUCUGCAGUGGUUUUGCAGCCUAUUUCCAGUUGAGAGAUCUGAUUAUGCAGCUGAUACACGAUUGAAGAAAGUAGCUGUGCUGGUGUUCUGAAAUGCUGUGCCACAGGAGUUGCAGAUAGUCACUCACAUCAGUCACUUCUGCCUAUAACUUAUAUAAAACUUUAAAGUUGUAAGAAAUAUACCAGUCAAGUGCUAAA